UGCGCGAGACAGCUACCUUCGGGUAGUGAGUAAAGCGGCGAACGGGUGAGUAACGCGUGGGUAAUCUACCUUUAAGUUAGGGAUAACUUCUCGAAAGGGAAGCUAAUACCUAAUAAUAAUAAAGAUGGCUUUGCUAUCGCUUACAGAUGAGCCCGCGUCCCAUUAGCUUGUUGGUAGGGUAAAGGCCUACCAAGGCAACAAUGGGUAGCCGACCUGAGAGGGUGAUCGGCCACACUGGGACUGAGACACGGCCCAGACUCCUACGGGAGGCUGCAGUGGGGAAUCUUCCGCAAUGAGCGAAAGCUUGACGGAGCAACGCCGCGUGAGUGAUGAAGGCCUUCGGGUCGUAAAGCUCUGUCCUUAGGGAAGAACACCCCAGUUGAUAAUACCAGCUGGGAUUGACGGUACCUUUGGAGGAAGCCUCGGCUAAUUACGUGCCAGCAGCCGCGGUAAUACGUAAGAGGCUAGCGUUGUCCGGAAUCACUGGGCGUGAAGGGUGCGCAGGCGGUCUAGUAAGUCAAGAGUGAAAUCCAUCGGCUCAACCGGUGAACUGCUUUUGAAACUAUUACACUUGAGGACAGGAGAAGGAAGUGGAAUUCCUAGUGUAGUGGUGAAAUACGUAGAUAUUAGGAAGAAUACCAAUGGCGAAGGCAGCUUCCUGGCCUGAUCCUGACGCUGAGGUACGAAAGCUAGAGUAUCAAACGGGAUUAGAUACCCCGGUAGUUCUAGCUGUAAACGCUG
rnacentral:rRNA from 1 species